UAGGUUGCUAAGCCGCGAGGUGGCGCCAAUCCAUAAAGUUGGUCUCAGUUCAGAUUGUAGGCUGCAACCCGCCUGCAUGAAGAUGGAGUUGCUAGUAACCGCAGGUCAGCUAUACUGCGGUGAAUACCGGUUCCCGGGGCUU
rnacentral:rRNA from 1 species